rnacentral:snRNA from 1 species
GUGCUCACUUUGGCAGCACAUUUACUAAAGCUGGAAUAAUACAAAGAUUAGCAUGGCCCCUGGGCAAGGAUGAUGUGCAAAUUCAUGAAGCAUUUCAUACUUUU